CGCAUCUUGCGCUCUUGGGUUAUUCCUAAGAGCAUGCUUGUUUGAGUAACAGAAAAGCUCAACCCCGUUCUCUUGAUUGAGAACAGAAGGGUUAGGAUCGUGGCAAGUAUGUGAUUAAUUUCACUUUGCCGAAAGACAAGCGGCCGAACUUUGAGUUGUGCGCUGACACUAUUGUUGUAAUAUUUUCUCAAUAGCUAGCACUUUUCUUAUCAGUAGGCUUUGAAAACUACAAGUCGCAAGACUUAAUAUUUUAUUGCUUGUUCUCAAAUCAAGUAGGACUACCCGCUGAACUUAA
rnacentral:misc_RNA from 1 species